GGUCUCGUAGCUCAGCUGGAUAGAGCGACGCUCUCCUAAAGCGUAGGUCGGAGGUUCGAAUCCUCUCGGGAUCACCA
rnacentral:tRNA from 1 species